rnacentral:rRNA from 1 species
AUUGAACGCUGGCGGCAUGCCUUACACAUGCAAGUCGAACGGCAGUGCGGGCUUCGGCCUGGCGGCGAGUGGCGAACGGGUGAGUAAUACAUCGGAACGUGCCCAGUAGUGGGGGAUAGCUCGGCGAAAGCCGGAUUAAUACCGCAUACGACCUGAGGGUGAAAGCGGGGGAUCUUCGGACCUCGCGCUAUUGGAGCGGCCGAUGGCAGAUUAGCUAGUUGGUGGGGUAAAGGCCUACCAAGGCGACGAUCUGUAGCUGGUCUGAGAGGACGACCAGCCACACUGGGACUGAGACACGGCCCAGACUCCUACGGGAGGCAGCAGUGGGGAAUUUUGGACAAUGGGCGAAAGCCUGAUCCAGCAAUGCCGCGUGUGUGAUGAAGGCCUUCGGGUUGUAAAGCACUUUUGGCGGGAACGAAAAGGACUGUGCCAAUACCACGGUUCGAUGACGGUACCCGCAGAAUAAGCACCGGCUAACUACGUG